CUUCCUGCUUCCUCAGCGUCUGGCGGUCACGGACACCUCCAUUCAUUGUGCCACCUCCUCCCCUACAGUGGAUCUGCCCCCUCCUACAGUGGCUCCACCUUGAAACCCCCUGCAGCCAGCGCCGGCCCGACAAUUACGCGCUGCGGGCUACGGCGUCCGCGUAGAGCGCAGGAUAGGAUCAGAUCACUUCAUCGAGCACUGCCGCUGGGGAGCUGUGGUCUCUCUCAAUGGUGGCAGUUGUCGCUCCCAUGUUGGACUCCUCGGAUCCAAACUCCCAAACUGACAGAUGCUGUGCAGUCCGUUAACACCUGGUGCUGUCGGGGAUACAAAAACGUCCUUGCUUUCAAGAGGCACCACCUUUCUGACCUUGUGGUUGAACUUAGAACUCGGCAGCCCCAUCUCAGGAAAAUAUCCAAGCCAAAAAAUAAGUAGUUCGUAAGGGUUAUGAAAUGAUUAUUCCAUGUUAAAAAAAAAAAAAAAAAAAUGUUUUUGACCUUCACUUUCUCAGUCCUCAGACAUAGAUGGGAAGUUCCCUAAUGCCUGAAAUACCAGUUACCUUGCUAGACAAAAACAUCUAUUAUGCACUAUAGUUAAACAUUGACAUGGCACAGUAACUCAGUGAGGGGGGAGCAGAAAUUGAAUAUUAAACUGUAUGUUCAGCAGCCCAGGAAGCAGGUCCUAUAGCUGGACAGUGGCCUGUGUGUUUAGAAUAGCACUCAUCAGACUACUGGUAGAACUGGUAUGGGACACCAUUGCAUCCAUCUAUUGAGAACUAAAGUCUCUCCAUUAUACAAAAAUGAACCAUUUUAUCCAUAUUGUACAUAUGUUUUACAGGGAGAAUUAGUAGGCUUUGUAUAGCUUAUUAUCAGUUCUAAAACUGACAUUGUGUGUAAUUUCUUCUGUCUAGGGAUGGCCAUUGGAGAGGUAACUAUUGUUGGUCACUAUCGAUUUUAGCAUUGGUGGUUGAUCUCGAUACUAUAAACCCAUUCAUGUGGGAACCACUCAUGGUUUUACCCACCGAAGGUCAUACCUGCUCUGCUAUCCACUCUGUCAGUCUCUUCGCUGGUUACCUGUAUUCUACAGUAUUCAAUAAAAAAAUAUUUUACUUACA